rnacentral:rRNA from 1 species
GACGAACGCUGGCGGCGUGCUUAACACAUGCAAGUCGAACGGAAAGGCCCUGCUUUUGUGGGGUGCUCGAGUGGCGAACGGGUGAGUAACACGUGAGUAACCUGCCCUUGACUUUGGGAUAACUUCAGGAAACUGGGGCUAAUACCGUAUAGGAGCUCCUGCUGCAUGGUGGGGGUUGGAAAGUUUCGGCUGUUGGGGAUGGACUCGCGGCUUAUCAGCUUGUUGGUUGGGUAGUGGCUUACCAAGGCUUUGACGGGUAGCCGGCCUGAGAGGGUGACCGGCCACAUUGGGACUGAGAUACGGCCCAGACUCCUACGGGAGGCAGCAGUGGGAAAUAUUGCACAAUGGGCGGAAGCCUGAUGCAGCAACGCCGCGUGCGGGAUGACGGCCUUCGGGUUGUAAACCGCUUUCGCCUGUGACGAAGCGUGAGUGACGGUAAUGGGUAAAGAAGCACCGGCUAACUACGUG